GAUGCACUGGCCUAAGCUCCUUGUGCACAAAAUAAAGCAGCGUCUCACAAAAAUGACCCAGAUGCGAAUCCGCACGAGGAAACUUGCCUUGAAAACAAAGGAGAAGAUAAUGACUACACCUAGAAAGGAGAAGAAGAGAGAGGCUAGAAGGGAGUAAAAGGCUGAAAAGGCUGCAGUUCUGGAUAAGGCAAUUGAGAAAGAGUUGCUUGCAAGGCUUGAAAAUAGAAUUUAUGAUGGCAUAUACAACCUCCCCUUCAAUAAAUUCCUCCAAACUCUUGACACAGAUGAACUGCUGGCUGAGGAUGAAAAUGAAGAGCAACUUUGAAAUUGAAGAGGAAGAUGACAUAGAAGAUUUGGGUAUGAAGGAUUAUCACAUCCGUAAU